rnacentral:SRP_RNA from 1 species
GCCGGGUGCUGUGGCGCGUGCCUGUAAUCCAAGUUACCGGGAGGUUGAGACUGGUGGGAUCGUUUGAGUUCAGAUCUCUUGAGGCUACAGUGGACUAUGUCGUGGAUCGGGUGUCCCAAUAAGUUCUGGUAUCGAUAUGGUGCACCUGGAGCCGGACCAACCAGGUCGUCUAAGGAGGGGUGCUCCGGCCCAGGUUCGGAAAUGGAGAGGCCAAAGCCCCCGUGUCGCCUCAGUAGUGGGAUCGCGCCUGUGAAUAGAGCGCUGUAGUGAAGCCUGAGUAAUAACAGCGGGACCCAGUCUUUU